CAAUUACUCCCUCCGUUCGGAAUUACUUGUCGUAGAAAUGGAUGUAUCUAGAUGUAUUUUAAUUCUAGAUAUAUCCAUUUCUGAGACAAGUAAUUCCGAACGGAGGGAGUAGCUA
rnacentral:pre_miRNA from 1 species